CUUGGUUGUCCUGAUCAGGAAGGCUUGGUGCGACGAUGACUGGGUGAAAGACGAGCUUUCUUAGAGUUGGUAGCCUACAAGGAAGAACUCCCGUUAAUGCCACUGCUGUUUUGCCAUCGGUUUUCUGCGAUUUGGUGUAACUUGUUUGUGUUGUCUGCUAUAGACUGGCUGCCUGGUUAACGCUGUCGCUAGUUAGGCUACACGGCUGGUGUAGGCUACGCUUGGCUUGUCCUGUCGCCUAUGAAUGUAUGUCCGUGUCCUUGGUCUUUUUUUGGAUACGU